CUGGAAUGGUUCCUGACUAAAAUCUAUAUGGCCUCUGGAUUGGACUGCGGCCGAUCAGGCUGUUGGUGAGGUAAUGGCCCACCAAACCUGUAACCGGUACGGGCUCUGAGAGGAGGAGCCCGGAGAUGGGCACUGAGACAAGGGCCCAGGCCCUAUGGGGCGCAGCAGGCGCGAAACCUCUGCAAUAGGCGAAAGCCUGACAGGGUUACUCUGAGUGACUUUCGCUAAGAAAGUCUUUUGGCACCUCUAAAAAGGGUGCAGAAUAAGGGGUGGGCAAGUCUGGUGUCAGCCGCCGCGGUAAUACCAGCACCCCGAGUGGUCGGGACGAUUAUUGGGCCUAAAGCAUCCGUAGCCGGUUCUGCAAGUCCCCCGUUAAAUCCAGCUGCUCAACAGAUGGGCCGCGGAGGAUACUACAGAGCUAGGAGGCAGGAGAGGCAAGCGGUACUCAGUGGGUAGGGGUAAAAUCCGUUGAUCCAUUGAAGACCACCAGUGGCGAAGGCGGCUUGUCAGAAUGCGCUCGACGGUGAGGGAUGAAAGCUGGGGGAGCAAACCGGAUUAGAUACCCGGGUAGUCCCAGCCGUAAACGAUGCAGACUCGGUGAUGGGUUGGCUUCGCGCUAACCCAGUGCCGCAGGGAAGCCGUUAAGUCUGCCGCCUGGGGAGUACGGUCGCAAGACUGAAACUUAAAGGAAUUGGCGGGGGAGCACCACAAGGGGUGAAGCCUGCGGUUCAAUUGGAGUCAACGCCGGG
rnacentral:rRNA from 1 species